GGAAGAGAGGAAGCAGGAAAAGAGUCUUCUUCCUGGAGUCCUAAAUAUGACUACAUCAGGAAAGCUGAUAGUGUCCAAGUCUACUUACAGAAUUUUUCAAAGAGACCCUGAAGAGAUUGCUCCUUUGGUAAAGCGUUUGCUGUGGUAAAAUGGAAACCUGAUCACCAGCACCUACAAAAGAAGCCGGGCAUAGUGGCACAGGCCUCUCAUCCCAGCGUUCAGAUGAUGGAGACUAAUGGAUCCCUGAGGCUUGCUGGUCUACCAGCCUCAAGUAGACUCAUUGAGCACCAGAUGAUUUUGCCAUCUCAAUGAAUACAUGAAGAGUAUUUUUUAAGGAAGUGUGUAGUGGUGGCCAUUUUCAAGGCAGAACACAGAAGCUGCAGAGAAUGGAAGCAUCAUGGAGAAAAUGGCAGGGAGACCCAAGACUCCAAGACAAGAAGGAUGAAGUAAAAGAAGCAAUCAGGAAAGAAGCAUUGCUGUCCAUGGGCAGAACUAUCCCAGGAAGUUAAUCGCGAUAAACACAAGCGCCAAGCAGCGUCCCCUCUGUGUCUCUCCCUGCCUGGAGAUCCGUACUGAAAUCACUGCGGGCAUCUGACUGCUUCACGUAGCCGGGGGAAGUUUUACUGUGGGUCUUCUCAGAGCCAAAACCAGAAAGAAGCACUUCUGAAAAAAC
ensembl:lncRNA